GUCUCCAUGGCGCAACUGGUUAGCGCGUCUGACUGUUACUUGCAACGCGAUCAGGAGGUUGGCAGUUCAAUCCUGCCUGGGGACG
rnacentral:tRNA from 1 species